ACCAUCCCCUCCACCUCCGGCGCGCCCCCAUCUCCUCCUGCCCAGUCGCUGUCUCACCACGCUGGCUAGGACUCCUUGCGGAAAUAUGUCGGGACGGAGUGAGCGGCAUGACGCACUGGUUCAGGGACUCGGCCGACCUCGUCGCGUUCCGGGAAGGGCGGCGGCAGAGCUUCGAGUACGGCUGGUACGGCAACCCCACGGUGAAUGUGCUGGAGGAGAAGAUCAGCGCUCUCGAGAGGACGAAGGCGUUGGAAUCCAUUCUUGAUCAGGGCAACGCAAGUGACGAUGUUCUACGCCGACUCGCUGACGAAGCCUCACCUGAAGGUCGUCGACGUGCGGCGGGUCGCCGAGCUGUGUCACCAGUGUGGCGAGCUGGUGUGCAUCGACAGCACGCUGGCGUCGCCCAUCAACCAGAAGCCGCUCACCCUCGGUGCCGACGUCGUCCUCCACUCCGCCACCAAGUACAUCGCCAGCCACCAGGACGUCAUCGUCGGCUGCGUUAGCGGCUCGGAGGUGCUCAUCUCAAGGAUACGCGUGUGGUACCACGACCUUGGUGCGCCAUCAAUCCGAACCGCCACAUCCAUAUGAAGAGUUGCGCCUCAGAUGCAUGGCAAACAGUGCAAGCAUCCAGCAACUUGGUCUUCCUGCUUACACCCCUAAUGGACAAAGAACAGCUACCAAUUCUAAAAACAAGAAGACAAAUGAGAGAAAUAGAGAAGAUGCUAAUUAUGAUCCUUUGCAUGAUGAUGCCGGUGAACAAGAUUUGUUUCAUGAUGACAUUGCUAAGCUCCUGUUGGUGUUCAAUUUUUGUUGCCUUUGCUUCUGGAAUCAAACAACAAGUUGUUUCAGGUGCUUCAUUUUUUUGGUGCUGCAUGUCCUGCUGGUGUGGAGGGAACCAGAACCUGGACCUUAGAUUUUUUUGGUGCUGCAAGUGUUAUAUCCUAAACAUAACAGGAUUAUAAGCCACAUGGUCAAAAAAUGCACAAUAUAGUUAUAUCCUAGACCCUACGAACCAGUAGAGUAAAUUACUAAUAUUAUAGUCCAAUCAAAAGGUAAUAGCAUUUUUGAAUUGGCUAAUAUAUAUGUUUGAUUAAUCUAAAUAUACGUACCCAUAGUGUCUAUAUAUAAGAUAAGAUAAGUAAUAGAUCUGAUAUUUACAACACUUUUCAUGGACACUAAUUUUGGAACAACUCACAGUGAAUGAAACUUCAUAUCCAUGGGCGGAACUGCCCAUUGGGCAGCAUGGGACGACUGGCCCAGCUAUGGUCCGCGUUGCCCCAGGCCCCUACAUGCUAAGUCUGCUUCCCAACUAAGGGAGGCAACAAGCAGAAAACAAGCAGCCCACCAGGGAACAAGAAGACGGUAAAAUUAUUGGGUAGGCUGUAGGAGGGCGGCACUAUGGAAGGAUGCAACAAUUGACGAGCAACACAAAUUAACCAGCAAUAAAGAGCCUUCUCGGCUAUGAAUAUACUCAAGACUAGUUUGCAUAACUGGAUGCCUGAUGAAUGACUCAACGACUUGAUAUUAUGAUAUAUUGAGAAGGACAUUUUUAGAUGUCUUGAUUUUGAAAAGGUAAAAACAUGUUUCAAGCCACAGGUGAUCGGAGAAUAGAUUUAUACAAGACUUCUAGAGACCGUAAAAAUGUUAAGUGAUUUAUUUGUAGUAUGUCUUCUCAUGUAUUAACCAAUUUUUAAAAGAUAUUUGACUAGUUAGCUAUCGAACUGAUUUUCCUUUUGUAACUUGAUAGUUCUUCUGCUAUCUUUUAGCGCAAAGUGAAAUAUAUAUAAAUAUAUAUUAGU